rnacentral:rRNA from 1 species
GAUGAACGCUGGCGGCGUGCCUAAUACAUGCAAGUCGAGCGAACAGAUGAGGAGCUUGCUCCUCUGACGUUAGCGGCGGACGGGUGAGUAACACGUGGAUAACCCACCUAUAAGACUGGGAUAACUUCGGGAAACCGGAGCUAAUACCGGAUAAUAUAUUGAACCGCAUGGUUCAAUAGUGAAAGACGGCUUUGCUGUCACUUAUAGAUGGAUCCGCGCCGCAUUAGCUAGUUGGUAGGGUAACGGCCUACCAAGGCAACGAUGCGUAGCCGACCUGAGAGGGGGAUCGGCCACCCUGGAACUUAAACACGGUCAAGACUCCUGCGAGACGCAGCAGUAGGGAAUGUGCGGCAAUGGGCGGAAACCUGGCGGAGCAACGCCGCGUGAGUGAUAAAGGUCUUCGGAUCGUAAAACUCUGUUAUUAGGGAAGAACAAAUGUGUAAGUAACUAUGCACGUCUUGACGGUAACUAAUCAGAAAGCCACGGCUAACUACGUG